AACGAACGCUGGCGGCAUGCCUAACACAUGCAAGUCGAACGAGACCUUCGGGUCUAGUGGCGCACGGGUGCGUAACGCGUGGGAACCUGCCCUUAGGUUCGGAAUAACUCCCCGAAAGGGGUGCUAAUACCGGAUAAUGUCUUCGGACCAAAGAUUUAUCGCCUUUGGAUGGGCCCGCGUUGGAUUAGCUAGUUGGUAGGGUAAAAGCCUACCAAGGCGACGAUCCAUAGCUGGUCUGAGAGGAUGAUCAGCCACACUGGGACUGCGACACGGCCCAGACUCCUACGGGAGGCAGCAGUGGGGAAUAUUGGACAAUGGGCGAAAGCCUGAUCCAGCAAUGCCGCGUGAGUGAUGAAGGCCUUAGGGUUGUAAAGCUCUUUUACCCGGGAUGAUAAUGACAGUACCGGGAGAAUAAGCGCCGGCUAACUCCGUG
rnacentral:rRNA from 1 species